GAAGUAGUCCCUAAUUUAAAGUGUGCCAUAUCUCUCAUCUUUCCCAUCCACUACAGUGGCUGAAAAAGCCAUCUUUCUCUUGGGUUAUGCCAGGCCAGUAAAUCGAUUUCACAUCCUCUCUUGGCUUUAGAGCUUGACUUCAUUUUCUUUACCCAAUUCACCAAGUUAUGUCCUGGACUGGUAGAAUAAAUAGGAGUGAACAAUUUAGAAAGAGCCUUCUUGAGGCUUAGCUCUGAACCUUAAGAACAAAGGUUCUUGCCUAAGAAUGAAGUCCCAGAAAGGAAGUGCCUCAGAUGAUGGAGAAGUAAGUCUUAAUAUGAGGAAGGGAUCCUAAAGAGGAUGUCAAGGUGCGGUCACCAAAGGCAAACAUGCUUCCUUUACAACUAACUGAAUACUACACUUGCCAUUUGCAUUGGUGAAAACCCUGGUUGGUAAAAAAUGGUUCUCUGUUUCUUGACUCAGUUAGCUGAAGAGGUUCAUGUUCUAGUGACUCUGGAUGGAAAGCAGGGGUUGGUUUGGAAAUGUUUCAGUUUGGAGCAGAGCUCCUUAAUGACGGUUCAGUGAUGUGGCUUUUAUCUUUUUUUAAAGACAUUCUGCAUUGAAGUUGUAUUAAAUCAGUAUGUGGCUUGUUCUGACUUGUUCUCAUUAAAAACAAAAUCUGAUUAUGAA
rnacentral:lncRNA from 1 species